UAAGGAAGAAAUUGGGUAUCGUGAUGGAUUUCUCUGAACGAAGAAAAGUGGCUGCCGAAGAGAAGCUGGAAAAGACACUUUAUGAACUGGAGGCAACAAAGAAUCAGCUGUCAGAUGCCGAGGAAAAUCUGAAAGUAAUCAAAGAAGAAAUGGACAAGUACAAACAACAGAUCGGAAAGAUGCAAGACCAGCUGCAGGAGGCAGAGCUCACCUUUGAACGCAAGGUAACCUGAGCUGUGCCCCAACAGGCCCCUUAGCGCCUCCUGCAGGGGACGGAAGUGGCCCUUAGAUCCCUGAACAUGCGCUUUUGGUGUGUUGGCUUUUUCAGAUUGCAGUUUAUGAAAAGAAUGCUGUAGGGAAUUGGGUAAGUGUUUUCUUUUCCCUGCUCUCCAUUUGGGGCACAGUCUGGCACAACUGAAGAUGGGUGGGUUUUUCUCCCGCAGAUCAAGGCUCGGGUUUGGGAGCGGAAGAUACAGCAGCAGAGAAGGGAGAACGCCUACAUGAUACACAGACUGCGCAUGAUGGAAGGAGAGAUGCUGCCUGAGGGAUGCAUGAGGCAGGAAGCGAUGCUGGGAAGACCUGAGAUGUGGAGCCCUCCACGGAGAGGGCAUUGGUCUGAUGCUGAACCUGGUGGGGCUCCCAUAAGGAACAACGGCACUGAGCCUAAUAGAGACCCUGGGAUGUACAAGUUAACUACUGUGGACUUUUCCACUUUUUUCAGAAACUUCCACUUUUGAGCAACACCCUGUCCUGGCCUUGCGUCUAUUGGGUGGGUCGUCCAGUUUGUCUGUGGCGUCAUUCACCUCUCAAAAUACAAGCAGUUCACACAGGGGCUGACAGGCUUCUCCAUUACAAAUCGUCAUCUUUGGGGGCCUCUCCCGAAGCCACAGGUGGUUAGAGGUGAAGGAUGGCAGAACACUCACUGUGUGUGUGUGUGUGUGUGUGUGUGUGUGUGUGUGUGUGUGUGUGUGUGUACCCCUGCUCACCCAUAGCGCACAAGGGGGAAAUAACUCAAGGAAGAUGACAGCUCACUGCACACUGAAGUCUCUGGGCUGCCUGACUCCCAUUGGGGUAGGUUUAGG
rnacentral:lncRNA from 1 species